GCAAGUCGAGGGGCAUCAUGAUCUAGCAAUAGAGUGAUGGCGACCGGCGCACGGGUGAGUAACACGUAUCCAACCUUCCGUUAACUCGGGGAUAGCCUUUCGAAAGAAAGAUUAAUACCCGAUAGUAUAGUAUUUCCGCAUGGUUUUGCUAUUAAAGAAUUUCGGUUAUCGAUGGGGAUGCGUUCCAUUAGUUUGUUGGCGGGGUAACGGCCCACCAAGACUUCGAUGGAUAGGGGUUCUGAGAGGAAGGUCCCCCACAUUGGAACUGAGACACGGUCCAAACUCCUACGGGAGGCAGCAGUGAGGAAUAUUGGUCAAUGGACGAGAGUCUGAACCAGCGAAGUAGCGUGAAGGAUGAAGGCUCUAUGGGUCGUAAACUUCUUUUAUACGGGAAUAAAGUGAUCCACGUGUGGAUUUUUGUAUGUACCGUAUGAAUAAGGAUCGGCUAACUCCGUGCCAGCAGCCGCGGUAAUACGGAGGAUCCGAGCGUUAUCCGGAUUUAUUGGGUUUAAAGGGAGCGUAGGCGGGUACUUAAGUCAGUUGUGAAAGUUUGCGGCUCAACCGUGAAAUUGCAGUUGAUACUGGGUUGUCUUGAGUGCAGUA
rnacentral:rRNA from 1 species